UACGAGGGGCAAGCGUUGUUCGGAAUUAUUGGGCGUAAAGGGCGCGUAGGCGGUGCGGUAAGUCACCUGUGAAAACUCUGGGCUCAACUCAGAGCCUGCAGGCGAAACUGCCGUGCUUGAGUGUGGGAGAGGUGAGUGGAACUGCGAGUGUAGAGGUGAAAUUCGUAGAUAUUCGCAAGAACACCAGUGGCGAAGGCGGCUCACUGGCCCGAUACUGACGCUGAGGCACGAAAGCGUGGGGAGCAAACAGG
rnacentral:rRNA from 1 species